GACGAACGCUGGCGGCGUGCUUAACACAUGCAAGUCGAACGGAAAGGCCCUGCUUUUGUGGGGUGCUCGCGUGGCGAACGGGUGAGUAACACGUGAGUAACCUGCCCUUGACUUUGGGAUAACUUCAGGAAACUGGGGCUAAUACCUGAUAGGAGCUCCUGCUGCAUGGUGGGGGUUGGAAAGUUUCGGCGGUUGGGGAUGGACUCGCGGCUUAUCAGCUUGUUGGUGGGGUAGUGGCUUACCAAGGCUUUGACGGGUAGCCGGCCUGAGAGGGUGACCAGCCACAUUGGGACUGAGAUACGGCCCAGACUCCUACGGGAGGCAGCAGUGGGGAAUAUUGCACAAUGGGCGGAAGCCUGAUGCAGCAACGCCGCGUGCGGGAUGAAGGCCUUCGGGUUGUAAACCGCUGUCGCCUGUGACGAAGCGUGAGUGACGGUAAUGGGUAAAGAAGCACCGGCUAACUACGUG
rnacentral:rRNA from 1 species